CCAACUCCCAACUUUGACACUAUGCAAAAAGAAGAUUCCCCAUCACAUCGAACUUGUGGUACAUGCAUGGAGUACUAAAUGUAGAUGAAAUUAAAAACUAAUUGCACAGUUUUGUUGUACUUUGCGAGACGAAUCUUUUGAGCCUAAUUAGUCAAUAUUUGGACAAUAAUUCACAAAUACAAACGAAACGCUACAGUGUGCUACAGUGCUGUAACAGUAAUUUGGCACCUCCCAAAUUCCCCAACUAAACAAGGCCUAA
rnacentral:lncRNA from 1 species